GGUUGAUCCUGCCAGUAGUCAUAUGCUUGUCCUAAAGAUUAAGCCAUGCAUGUCUAAGUAUAUACCUUUAUACGGUGAAACUGCGAAUGGCUCAUUAUAUCAGUUAUAAUUUACUUGAUGGAUUGUUUACUACUUGGAUAACCGUGGUAAUUCUAGGGCUAAUACAUGCAGUGGGCCCGACUUUUGGAAGGGCAGCAUUUAUUAGAUAAAAACCAAUUGCAAUGGAAACGUUGUAAGCUGGUGAGUCAUGAUAACUGGGCGGAUCGUAUGGCCUUGAGCCGACGACGCUUCAU
rnacentral:rRNA from 1 species